ACUCGGACUCUCUGGCUAUUUUGUGUGCUCCCAUCUGACAGCCCACACUUCUCCGCCGUGUGCCUUGGCCACAGGACACAGAGCACUAAGAAGAAAGACCGUAGGAUGAACUCUCAUUUUCCCAGUCGUUGGGAAGGAGGUGAAAAAGCCACGUCAGAAACUGAAAGGUAAGCUAGCAGACAUCAAGAAGCCAGCAAACCACCCCAGUGCGCCUGCCUGGAUAAGAAGGGCUGAGGACCUAGAAAGAAUGAGACUCCUGAGUUGCCAAGGCAACUGCGAACCCGGACAUCCGUAUGAAGACGGAAGAGUACAUGGAAAGAGGUGACGAUGGUACAAGGACCCACGCUCUGGGCUUGCCACAGGAUUUUUCAUGAAGGCAGUCUGGAAGACAGGGGGAUAGUGGGUGAGAUAUUUGUGCCAGCUGUUGCAAAGGUGAGUAAUUGGUGGAAAAGCUAUGGCUGAGGGACAGGUGACCAGAACUUCUUGGCACUCUGAAGGCAGACCAUGACAGAGGCUGCCUAGAGAUGUCAUUCUGCUAGGAGACGACAGUGUUCGGGGACACCCCCUCAUGACUUAUGCUAGUGUCAUAGAUGGCCAGGAACAGACCUGGGAAGCUUAAGUCACCUUUGGGAAUGCUUCCAUGGAAAAGCAAUCCAUGCGGGUUCUCUCUGGACUUUCACCUAGCUAACCAACGUCCAGCCCUUAAACUCCUUCCUCUUCCCAAAGAAUUAGUCUAUCUGCCUUUAUUCAUUUAAAAGACACCAGGACCAAGUUCAUGUAAUUUCCUCUUCCAGUCUUGCUUUCUCUGUGUAUCUGGACCUUCCUCCACUGGCUUUGUGUGAA